rnacentral:rRNA from 1 species
UACGUAGGGGGCAAGCGUUGUCCGGAAUCAUUGGGCGUAAAGAGCGCGUAGGCGGCCCUGUAAGUCCGCUGUGAAAGUCAAGGGCUCAACCCUUGGAUGCCGGUGGAUACUGCAGGGCUAGAGUCCGGAAGAGGCGAGUGGAAUUCCUGGUGUAGCGGUGAAAUGCGCAGAUAUCAGGAGGAACACCGAUGGCGAAGGCAGCUCGCUGGGACGGUACUGACGCUGAGGCGCGAGAGCGUGGGGAGCAAACAGG